CGGGACGUCCCGGAGGUUACUGAGUGUUGUGGUGUCCUGAACAGUUUUCAGGAAAAGAGGCUUCUGAGGCUCGCUGUCAAUGUGCUGCAUAGUAAAUUACCCAGACCGAAUCCUGAUCUUGACUGCCAUGACAGCCUAAGUACCCAUCUCCACUGAGCUGCUCACAGAAUUCCAUUACUGAGCUUGCCCUCUUCUGCCUGUGGACAGCUGCUAAGAUCUAGAACCUACCUGAGCUGUUAUUAUUUUUUUCUCUCAAACCCCAAUAAAAUUGUUCUGG
rnacentral:lncRNA from 1 species